AGUGAACGCUGGCGGCGUGCCUAACACAUGCAAGUCGAGCGGAGCGGCGGACGGGUGAGUAAUGCCUAGGAAUCUGCCUGGCAGUGGGGGAUAACGUCCGGAAACGGGCGAUAAUACAGCAUACUAUCAGAUGAGCCAAGGUGGGAUUAGCUAGUUGGUGGGGUAAAGGCUUACCAAGGCGACGAUCCGUACAUGGUCUGAGAGGAUGAUCAGUCACACUGGGACUGAGACACGGUCCAGACUCCUACGGGAGGCAGCAGUGGGGAAUAUUGGACAAGGGGCGAAAGCCUGAUGCAGCCAUGCCGCGUGUAUGAAGAAGGUCUUAGGAUUGUAAAGCACUUUCAGUUGGGAGGCGUUACCAACAGAUGAAGCACCGGCUAACUUCGUGCCAGCAGCCGCGGUAAUAC
rnacentral:rRNA from 1 species